rnacentral:rRNA from 1 species
UACAGAGGUCUCAAGCGUUGUUCGGAUUCAUUGGGCGUAAAGGGCGCGUAGGCUGCGGGGCAAGGUCGGGUGGUGAAAUCUCAGAGCUCAACUCUGAAACUGCACUCGAUACUGCUUUGCUUGAGGACUGGAGAGGAGAUUGGAAUUCACGGUGUAGCAGUGAAAUGCGUAGAUAUCGUGAGGAAGACCAGUGGCGAAGGCAGCUCGCUGGGACGGUACUGACGCUAAGGCGCGAAAGCGUGGGGAGCGAACAGG